CUACGUGCCAGCAGCCGCGGUAAUACGGAGGGUGCGAGCGUUAAUCGGAAUAACUGGGCGUAAAGGGCACGCAGGCGGUGACUUAAGUGAGGUGUGAAAGCCCCGGGCUUAACCUGGGAAUUGCAUUUCAUACUGGGUCGCUAGAGUACUUUAGGGAGGGGUAGAAUUCCACGUGUAGCGGUGAAAUGCGUAGAGAUGUGGAGGAAUACCGAAGGCGAAGGCAGCCCCUUGGGAAUGUACUGACGCUCAUGUGCGAAAGCGUGGGGAGCAAACAGGAUUAGAUACCCUGGUAGUCCACGCUGUAAACGAUGUCGAUUUGGGGGUUGAGCUUUGAGCUUGGCGCCCGUAGCUAACGUGAUAAAUCGACCGCCUGGGGAGUACGGCCGCAAGGUUAAAACUCAGAUGAAUUGACGGGGGCCCGCACAAGCGGUGGAGCAUGUGGUUUAAUUCGAUGCAACGCGAAGAACCUUACCUACUCUUGACAUCCAGA
rnacentral:rRNA from 1 species